AGUGGAAUUGCUGGGUCAUAUGGUAACUCUGUUUAACUUUUGGAGGAACUGCCAAACCAUUUACCAAAGUCACUUCACCACUUUACAUUCCCGUUAGCAAU
rnacentral:pre_miRNA from 1 species